GUGCUCACUUCGUCAGCACAUAUGCUAUAAUUGGAAUGAUACAGAGAUUAGCAUAGCCCUGCACAAAGAUGACACGCAGAUUUGUGAAGUGUUCCAUGUUUUU